rnacentral:lncRNA from 1 species
UGAGGAAAACCUAGAUCUUGGUUGCUUGAGGUGAAAGUUAAGUUUUUUUUGUGUUUUUUUUUCUGCAGUUCUUGUCCGGAGGACAGUCUGAGUUGGAGGCAACGUUGAACCUGAACGCGAUGAACCAGGCACCAAACCCGUGGCACGUGUCCUUCUCCUACGCACGUGCUCUUCAGAACACUUGCCUGAAAACAUGGGGAGGCAGAGCUGAGAACGUGAACGCAGCUCAGACCACUCUCUUGACUCGAGCCAAGGCCAAUUCGUUGGCUCAGCUCGGAAAAUACACCGGAGAAGGUGAGUCUGAAGAGGCUAAGGAGGGUAUGUUCGUCAAAG